rnacentral:rRNA from 1 species
UAUGUGAUCGUCUCUCGCAUAUCAAUAAGCGGAGGAAAAGAAACUAACAAGGAUUCCCCUAGUAACGGCGAGUGAAGCGGGAAGAGCUCAAAUUUGAAAUCUUAAAGGGUUUCCCUUUACGAAUUGUAGUUUAAAGAAGUGUUUUCUGUUGAGGUUUUGGUAAAAGUUCUUUGGAAUAGGACAUCAUAGAGGGUGAGAAUCCCGUAUUUGACCUUUACUUUCAACUUUGUGAUACACUUUCAAAGAGUCGGAUUGUUUGGGAAUGCAGUCCAAAAUGGGUGGUAAAUUUCAUCUAAAGCUAAAUAUUGGCGAGAGACCGAUAGCGAACAAGUACCGUGAGGGAAAGAUGAAAAGAACUUUGAAAAGAGAGUUAAACAGUACGUGAAAUUGUCAAAAGGGAAGCGUUUGACACCAGUGUUGUUUUUCUGAAAAUCAAUUAAAGAACUGUUUAUGCUAAGCUGUUUAGACUUUAUCAGCUAAUCUGUUUAGUUUUGAGCUUUUCUUUAAUGCACUUUUCAGUUAACAAGUCAACAUCAAUUUCUUUUGCUGUAAAAAAGCUUGAGGAAGGUGGCUUGAGAUUCGUCUUAAGUGUUUAUAGCCUCUUGCCUAUGCAGUCGGAGAGAUUGAGGUCUGCAGCGUAGAUCCUUCGGGGCUAAAUGCAUUUGUGCUAAGUUAUAGCAUUUUAUAGACAACUUGUUGACUAUGAUUUGUCUUGUAGCUUACUCGCUUAUGUUAUUUUACCUACGCUUAGGAUGUUGAUAUGCAUGACUGAUAU